GAUGAAGAAGCAGCGAAAUGCGAUAAGUAAUGUGAAUUGCAGAAUUCAGUGAAUCAUCGAAUCUUUGAACGCACCUUGCGCCCUUUGGCCAUUCCGAAGGGCAUGCCUGUUUGAGUAUCAUGAACACCUCAACUCUUUAUGGUUUUCCAUGAUGAGCUUGGACUUUGGGGGUUUUGCUGGCCUAUGGUCGGCUCCUCUAAAAUAAAUCAGCUUACCGGUGUUUGGUGGGUAUCAUGGGUGUGAUAACUAUCUACGCUUGUGGUUUUUCCACCAGGUAACCUUCGACAGCGGAGGUUCACUGGAGCUCAUAGAUGUCUCUCCUCAGCGAGGACAGCCCUUUGAAUGUUUGAUCUCAAAUCAGGUAGGACUACCCGCUGAACUUAAGCAUAUCAAUAAGCGGAGGA
rnacentral:misc_RNA from 1 species